CAGCCUCUUAGAAAGAGGAAAUUCCCUGUUGAAAAAAAGUGGAUUUGUCCUGUCCUGUCCUGUAUGCGCUCAUUGGAUUUUAGUGAAUUACACAAAGGAACUAACCUUUUAUAGAUUGUCCACAUUUCUGAGAGAACACUGGUGAUCAUCGAUCCCUUGAGUAACGAGGACAAAUAUGAGCAAAAUCUUGCGGAAUUGGAGGAACUUCUUGAGGUUGGCGGGCCGUGAGUUCCAAAUAGAAACUUGGACUACCAAAACUGUGGCCCAUAACAAGCAGCAGAACAACAGUAGCUGUGGGGUUUUCACAUUAAAGUUUGCGGAAGAGUAUAUGGCCAAUGGAGAUCUCAGGCACAACCAGACCCACCUUCCCGAAGUUCUGAAGGCUCGAGGAGAUAUAGCCUGUGCCCUCCUACAGGCUGGGAGUCUGAGAUGUCUAUUUAAAUAAAAAAAAAAUGUCUG